rnacentral:rRNA from 1 species
AUGAACGCUGGCGGCGUGCCUAAUACAUGCAAGUCGAGCGAACAGACGAGGAGCUUACUCCUCUGACGUUAGCGGCGGACGGGUGAGUAACACGUGGAUAACCUACCUAUAAGACUGGGAUAACUUCGGGAAACCGGAGCUAAUACCGGAUAAUAUAUUGAACCGCAUGGUUCAAUAGUGAAAGACGGUUUUGCUGUCACUUAUAGAUGGAUCCGCGCCGCAUUAGCUAGUUGGUAAGGUAACGGCUUACCAAGGCGACGAUGCGUAGCCGACCUGAGAGGGUGAUCGGCCACACUGGAACUGAGACACGGUCCAGACUCCUACGGGAGGCAGCAGUAGGGAAUCUUCCGCAAUGGGCGAAAGCCUGACGGAGCAACGCCGCGUGAGUGAUGAAGGUCUUCGGAUCGUAAAACUCUGUUAUUAGGGAAGAACAAAUGUGUAAGUAACUAUGCACGUCUUGACGGUACCUAAUCAGAAAGCCACGGCUAACUACGUG